UGGGGAAUUUUGGACAAUGGGCGAAAGCCUGAUCCAGCAAUGCCGCGUGUGUGAAGAAGGCCUUCGGGUUGUAAAGCACUUUUGUCCGGAAAGAAAUCCUUGGCUCUAAUACAGUCGGGGGAUGACGGUACCGGAAGAAUAAGCACCGGCUAACUACGUGCCAGCAGCCGCGGUAAUACGUAGGGUGCAAGCGUUAAUCGGAAUUACUGGGCGUAAAGCGUGCGCAGGCGGUUUGCUAAGACCGAUGUGAAAUCCCCGGGCUCAACCUGGGAACUGCAUUGGUGACUGGCAGGCUAGAGUAUGGCAGAGGGGGGUAGAAUUCCACGUGUAGCAGUGAAAUGCGUAGAGAUGUGGAGGAAUACCGAUGGCGAAGGCAGCCCCCCUGGGGCCAAAUACUGACGCUCAUGCACGAAAGCGUGGGGAGCAAACAGGAUUAGAUACCCUGGUAGUCCACGCCCCAUAAACGAUGUCAACUAGUUGUUGGGGGACUUCAUUUUCCUUAGUAACGUAGCUAACGCGUGAAGUUGACCGCCUGGGGAGUACGGUCGCAAGAUU
rnacentral:rRNA from 1 species